GAGACCCGAGACCGAAGCAAGACAAGCGAACUUGUAAUCGCUGACGACCUCGGAGCGAUAGGGAUGUGCGAUCGGCGCGUCUUGUGGACCAAUGCCACGCCAUCCUCUCAUUCCGAGCCCCUCUUCGUCCAUCACGGACCGGGGAUGGGAUGACGUACGAAACUUGGGCGUGGUAUGCGCCAAGGAUGUAUCGAAAUAAGAAGCGAGUGUGCCGUGCUCGAUGAGGGCGGUGCCUCGCAUGUGCAUCUUGAAAAACAAAAUGACUCUCGGCAACGGAUAUCUCGGCUCUCGCAUCGAUGAAGAACGUAGCAAAAUGCGAUACUUGGUGUGAAUUGCAGAAUCCCGCGAACCAUCGAGUCUUUGAACGCAAGUUGCGCCCGAGGCCACCAGGCUGAGGGCACGCCUGCCUGGGCGUCACGCCUCAUGCUGCCCCAACCGACGCCUUCCUCCUCGAGGCGAUCGUUUUGGGUGCGGAGAUUGGCCUCCCGUGCCUCUGCGUGCGGUGGGCUGAAGAGUGGGCCACCGGUGCACGGUGCGGUGAGACACGACGAGUGGUGGACAUAUGGGCGCCGAGUGCGCAAAUUAUUGCCAAAGUGUCGUGGCCGCGUCGCACACCUCCACCAAAUGGCCCUCGAGACCUCAUCAUGGAUCAAGCCUGAGCGGGCGCGGUGCUCGGUGCCAUCCGCCUCAAGCAACAAUCCCUCGCAUUGCGACCC
rnacentral:rRNA from 1 species